rnacentral:rRNA from 1 species
AGAGUUUGAUCCUGGCUCAGAUUGAACGCUGGCGGCACGCUUUACACAUGCAAGUCGAGCGGCAGCGCGGGGGUGCUUGCACCCCUGGCGGCGAGCGGCGGACGGGUGAGUAAUGCAUGGGAAUAUGCCCGACAGAGGGGGAUAACUUUGGGAAACCAAAGCUAAUACCGCAUACGCUCUGCGGAGGAAAGCGGGGGAUCUUCGGACCUCGCACUGACGGAGUAGCCCAUGUCCGAUUAGUUUGUUGGUGCGGUAACGGCGCACCAAGGCGAUGAUCGGUAGCUGGUCUGAGAGGAUGAUCAGCCACACCGGGACUGAGACACGGCCCGGACUCCUACGGGAGGCAGCAGUGGGGAAUAUUGGACAAUGGGGGAAACCCUGAUCCAGCGAUGCCGCGUGAGUGAAGAAGGCCUUCGGGUUGUAAAGCUCUUUCGCGAGGGAAGAAAAGGCAACGGUAAAUAAUUGUUGCCACUGACGGUACCUCGAUAAGAAGCACCGGCUAACUACGUGCCAGCAGCCGCGGUAAUACGUAGGGUGCGAGCGUUAAUCGGAAUUACUGGGCGUAAAGCGUGCGUAGGCGGCCAUGCAAGUCAGAUGUGAAAGCCCCGGGCUUAACCUGGGAACUGCGUUUGAAACUGCAAGGCUAGAGUUCGGCAGGGGAAGAUGGAAUUCCAUGUGUAGCGGUGAAAUGCGUAGAUAUAUGGAAGAACACUAAUGGCGAAGGCAUUCUUCUGGGCCGAUACUGACGCUGAGUCACUAAAGCGUGGGGAGCAAACAGGAUUAGAUACCCUGGUAGUCCACGCCCUAAACGAUGUCCGCUAGCUAUUGGAUUUUGGAUUCAGUGGCGAAGCUAACGCGUUAAGCGGACCGCCUGGGGAGUACGGUCGCAAGAUUAAAACUCAAAGGAAUUGACGGGGACCCGCACAAGCGGUGGAUGAUGUGGUUUAAUUCGAUGCAACGCGAAAAACCUUACCUGCUCUUGACAUGUCUGGAACUCUGCAGAGAUGCAGAGGUGCCUUCGGGAACCAGAACACAGGUG